AAGGAUCAUUACCACAUAUCAUCGGGGGGGAAACUUCGGUUUCCCCUGUCUGAACCCUUGUCUUUUGCGUACUAUUUGUUUCCUCGGUGGGCUUGCCUGCCGAUAGGACAACCAUUAAACCUUUUGUAAUUGCAAUCAGCGUCAGAAAAACAUAAUAGUUACAACUUUCAACAACGGAUCUCUUGGUUCUG
rnacentral:misc_RNA from 1 species